AACGAACGCUGGCGGCAGGCUUAACACAUGCAAGUCGAGCGCCCCGCAAGGGGAGCGGCAGACGGGUGAGUAACGCGUGGGAACGUACCCUUUGCUACGGAAUAGCUCCGGGAAACUGGAAUUAAUACCGUAUGUGCCCUACGGGGGAAAGAUUUAUCGGCAAAGGAUCGGCCCGCGUUGGAUUAGCUAGUUGGUGGGGUAAAGGCCUACCAAGGCGACGAUCCAUAGCUGGUCUGAGAGGAUGAUCAGCCACAUUGGGACUGAGACACGGCCCAAACUCCUACGGGAGGCAGCAGUGGGGAAUAUUGGACAAUGGGUGCAAGCCUGAUCCAGCCAUGCCGCGUGAGUGAUGAAGGUCUUAGGAUUGUAAAGCUCUUUCACCGAUGAAGAUAAUGACGGUAGUCGGAGAAGAAGCCCCGGCUAACUUCGUGCCAGCCGCCGCCGUAACAC
rnacentral:rRNA from 1 species